AGAACGAACGCUGGCGGCAGGCUUAACACAUGCAAGUCGAGCGCCCCGCAAGGGGAGCGGCAGACGGGUGAGUAACGCGUGGGAACAUACCCUCCGGUUCGGAAUAGCUCAGGGAAACUUGGAUUAAUACCGGAUACGGCCUAGCGGCGAAAGAUUCAUCGCCGGAGGAUUGGCCCGCGUUCGAUUAGCUAGUUGGUGAGGUAACGGCUCACCAAGGCGACGAUCGAUAGCUGGUCUGAGAGGAUGAUCAGCCACAUUGGGACUGAGACACGGCCCAAACUCCUACGGGAGGCAGCAGUGGGGAUAUUGGACAAUGGGCGCAAGCCUGAUCCAGCCAUGCCGCGUGAGUGAUGACGGCCUUAGGGUUGUAAAGCUCUUUCGCUAGGGACGAUAAUGACGGUACCUAGACAAGAAGCCCCGGCUAACUUCGCGCCAGCAGCCGC
rnacentral:rRNA from 1 species